AUCUACGGCCAUACCUCCCUAAACACACCUGAUCUCAGAAGUGAAAGAGGGUUGAGCCCUUGUUAGUACUUGGAUGGAAGAAACACAGCAGAAAUUGGUA
rnacentral:rRNA from 1 species